rnacentral:rRNA from 1 species
UGAGCAAUCUGCCCUUCUCAUCGGAAUAAGCGUUGGAAACGACGUCUAAUGCCGAAUACGACCUCCUUUCGCAUGAUCGGAGGUGGAAAGCUCCGGCGGAGAAGGAUGAGCUCGCGGCCUAUCAGCUUGUUGGUGAGGUAACGGCUCACCAAGGCUUCGACGGGUAGCCGGCCUGAGAGGGUGACCGGCCACACGUGGGACUGAGAUACCGGCCCAGACCUCCGUACGGGAGCAG